GAAAUGCGUUAAGUAAUGUGAAUUGCAGAAUUUAGUGAAUCAUAGAAUCUUUGAAAGCACUUUGCGCUCCUUGGUAUUCCGAGGAGCAUGCCUGUUUGAGUGUCAUUAAAUUCUCAACCUCACCAAUAUUUGUAAUGAAAGUUGUGUGCAGGCUUGGAUGUGGAGUGUUGCAGGUCCGCCUCUUGGUGCUCUGCUCCUCUGAAAUGCAUUAGUGGGUUGUGCCCCUAAUCUAUUGGUGUGAUAAUUAUCUACGCCGUGGAUCAGGUUGGCUACUAUAGACCUGCUUCUAACCGUCCGUCUUGUACAACUUUGACAUUUUUGACCUCAAAUCAGGUAAGACUACCCGCUGAACUUAA
rnacentral:misc_RNA from 1 species